CACACACACACACACACACACACACGUCUUCUUUGAGGUGUUCUAUUAUUUGUGCGCAACGCUGUUUAAGAAAAUAAGUUUCUGCAAAAUAAAUAAAUAAAUAAAUAAAUGUUUAUUUUGGCAGUCGAUACAGAGACACCCAUUGGAUCCGAGGCGUUAUUCGCCAUCCCUGAUUAUUCACUGCUUACUGUCUGUUUGUCCUUAUCAGUCUGUCCCAAUGAGGAAAGCAAAUAAACAAAGAUGAUGUUACGUCAUGUGAGGGGGUGAGAGAGAGAGAGAGAGAGAGAGAGAGAGAGAGAGAGAGAGAGAGAGAGAGAGAGAGAGAGAGAUGGGCACUGGAUGAGAGAAAGAAAUUUUAAAAAAGGUGUUGGCUGAAAAAGGUAUACCAGGGAAAGAGAAAGAAGGCACGAAAGUAAGGAUCUUCUUUUAUUUCAGUUAUUUUUUUAUUUAUUUUUCUCCCCCUGCUCCCUCGUUGACCUUCUGUUUGGAGAGAGGAAGGCAGCAGCACAGCACUGCUCACUGGCAAACACAGGAGAGAGGCGCCCGGUGCUGCAGCUGCUGCUGCUGCUGCUGCUGCUGCUGCAACCGGGAUUCACCUCAUCUACACAGGACGGGAUCCUGGAUUGAUCACGGUCUUCCAAAAACUGUCAAGAUUUAAGCCUGGUUGGAGGCGGCGCAGGCUCCGCGCUAAUUCGGUGGAAAUUCAGCUGCAACUCCUCCGCCUGGUGCAGCAAUGUGACAGAGAGGGGCAGCGCCGGAGGAGGCCGGGUGUUCACUCUUCCAGGUAGAUGGGUCGAUUCAUGAAUAGGGAGAAAUAAAUAUAACGGGCGCAUAUCCCCAGGCUUUGCACAUGAUGCGCACCUUAACUUUCCCCAAUGACUCUCUCACAGAUUAAAAAAAAAAAAAGUUACUUUUUCAGCGCAAUCAGUCCAUUUCUCCUUCCAGUCCCUAAAUAAAGCGUGUGCAUAAGUCAUUAAGCUGCUUGUGUGGAGGAAAAAGGUGCUCUCAGGCAUGAAUGAGGCCAACCCAAUGGCCAGCCAGGGUCUUCCCAAAAAAAACAUAUUCUGUUUCGGAUUCGUCUGUCCUGGCUGAUUAACCGGCCGGGGCUCCAGCAUGUUAGAUGGGAGCUGUGGAGAUGGCCCUUUAGCCUGGUGUCACAGGAGCUGACAAGAUGCAAUUACUGCGGCUGACACGUCCAACCCCAAAGCUCACUAAUGUGAGAGAUGUGGAAACCGCAGACAAUUUCUCGCACACUAUACAGCGAGAGGCAGCUCUGCGGCCAAGGAGUCCCAUUUUAAACGCGGCUCUGCGUGACGCCUUUCACCAGUAAAACAGCCGCUUAUUCAGCAGAUGAAGAUAUGGCGCGGAGCAUCAUGAGACUGUAUGUAAACGCAGGACAACAGAGAGCUAGUCUGCUCGGUUUUGAAAGAACAUACACUAUAAAAAAGGAAUUUCGGAGAUUAUCUAUUACUCAGAAAAUUAUUAUUAUCAUUAUUAUUAUUAUUAUUAUUAGUUUUGAUAAUCAGUUGGCUGGAAUACAGUUUAAGGAAUUGAUUCAGUCGGUAAACUAAUACUCAUACAUGACUAUAUUAACUUAGCAAAAAAUGAGAACUACAUAGAAACAUUUGACUGAGGAAGUUUCUGUGCUUAAGUUUGGACCCAGUUUUAGCUUGUUACCCAUCAGUGCUAACGCUAGUUUGAAAGCAGUAAGGGGAGCUGAACCACGAGGAAAUGAUUGCCAACGAACAGUGACCUCUAGAACACAACGUGUUUGUAUGUCAAAAAAAAAAAAGUAUGUUGUUAUUAUUUAUUGAUUCUUGAUAGAGGAUACAAAAGCGAUGGUAGGUGAUCUUGAUCAUUAGGGGGGGAAACUCUUUUAAAAGAAAGCCGUGAGAUUUGAAACAACGCGUUUAGGUUGUUUCAGCUGUGAAACACACAAACUUUUACUUAAAAAUGUGAAUGACUUAUAACAAAAUAAAAUGUAUAUAAAUGAAAUUUUCAUCUGUCAAAUAAUAAAAAAACAACACUUUUUCAGCUAAGGGUAAAUGAUAAAGCAAAUGAAUUAUUUACAUGUAAUGAACAGGACUUUAAAAAAAAUCUUAUAUGGAGAAACUGGUGUCAUUUGCAUAGAAGUUUUUCAGUAAGCUUGACAGCUAAAAUACCAUUAAAUCAUUUUUAAAAACUACUUACCCAAUUGAAUAAAUUAAAAUCUGAUUAUUAUUGUUUUGAUCACCUGUUGUUGUUUUUUUUUGUUUGUUUGUUAAAUAGAAACAAAAUAAAAUAACUAAAUUCGGACUAAAACAGAAAUAGAUCUUUUAAUACUGAGUUUUGCCUCACGGCUAAAAAGCUCAGCUUGCUAGCAUGGUUGCCUUUAGCAUUAGCUCUGUCACUAAUCUAGUUGAAACUGGAUAUGAACUUCAAUUAUUGCUCCUAUACAAAGACUCUCUAAAGCAGAUACUUUAUGGAAGCUCUUAACUCAGUUUGCAUAUUCACUAAUAAUAAAACCCAUCUAGACAGAGGAGCCUUAGCAUUGCCUUAGCAUUAGCAUCUGUACUCUGUACAGAGUAAAUAUCAACAACAUAUUCAGAUAAAUCUAGUCCAAACGUUUGGGUGAGAUUUCUUUCUGACAUAAAGUGAGAGUUGUAAGAAUUCAACCAUUACUGGUCAACACAUUGCAACCAGCUUAAGUUAAACAUUAUAUGGCUAAUACGUAAUAUCCUACAAAAUAAAUGUUUUAAAGUGCACGAGUUAUGUACUUAAAACCAGACCUUAACUUCAAUCAAGACAGAAACAGGUCGUCAUAAAGUAAAAACUAUUUAGUCAAAUGCUUUCAGAUUUGAGGUACUUGUCUUGAAAAACGUUUGAACAUGUCAUCUUUGUUUUUGGAGCGAAUGCAUUGUUAUACCAUUGUUUUUUGCUAACACCUCUAGCACCAAUAAACAAUAAUCACCUAUACAUAUCAGUACAAAGGCUGUUCCUUUUAGUAUUUCAAACUUUAGAGUUUGGAUUAGUAUAAAAGUGAGCUAUAAGCAUUAUAUCCCACUGAGGUGUGAACGUUUCUUCCUGUCUCUGAUUUGACAAAUUCCAUUAGAUUUUCCCAUGACGUAAACUGUCACCCGGUUCCAGUUUAAAACCCACACUAGCUGCUUGUCACUCUCAUUUAUUCCUCUCCCAGGAUGCAGAAGUUGCGCCUCCCGAAGCACAAAGACUCCGUUAAAGCUUCUAAAGUCUCCAAUCAACCAACAUGAGUGAUCCAUAGCUGAAGUGUCCCUCCUACUCUCUUUUGACAUUACUCCACUCGAUUGCCCGUUUACCCCCGAGUCAAGUUUGAGGCGGGCAUGAAGUGUAAAAGAGGUGGGCCAUGUCAUAUCCGCUCAGUGUGCAUGGGAUUGUUGGCAUGCACGGCGGUGAUCAUUGUUCAGGGAGAACAAUUCUUGCUCAGAGCAGGCAGGGAAAAGUGAGGAGAAUGGUUGAGAGCUGGGGCUGAUGAAACGAUUUGUUCACAGGUUUUUCCUCAUCAGCAGUGGCAGUGUGAUUAUAUCACAAGCACAUUUUUUUGCCUGCUUGUUUGUUUUUAAGCCACAUUUGUUCAUAGACAAAAUUCCACCAUCAAAUUUGCUAAACUUGAGUAACAUUUCCCUCUCCUUCCAGGACACAAAGGUAAUUUCAGUAUAAUAUGAUGCAUAUUAAGAUAUUGAAAUACGUAUAUAUUAUCUAUUCUACACUGAUAAAACAAAAUAUUAGAAUUGAAUACGUACAAUUGAUGAAGCACUUUGCAUAUAUUCACUUCGGAGGCUUUCUGAGUUGAAUGAUUUAAGCUCGACAGUCAGCAUGUAGAUUAGUUACUCAGCUAGUUAACUAGUUAGCACGGUUCUUUUCCUUACUUGUCCUCCACGGUGGGAAAGAAGAACAAAAAACUAUUUUUUGUGUUUAAAGAGUGAAAUGUUACUGAUACAAUUUAGUAAAUCUUUUCUAACAAGAUUUUCCCUACCAACAAAGUUAUGCCACUUAUUUCUUCAUGGUUUAUCUGCACGUUAGCAUGUUCAACAGUAGCUUUAGCUUUGUUGCUAAACUACUUCAAGAUGGAUACAAACUUAAAUUGUUGUUGCAGUGCACUAUUUCAACCAAAAAUCUCCAGGUAAUUGUUAAUUUUAAGA